rnacentral:rRNA from 1 species
AACCAGCACCUCAAGUGGUCAGGAGGAUUAUUGGGCCUAAAGCAUCCGUAGCCGGCUCUGUAAGUUUUCGGUUAAAUCUAUAUGCUCAACAUAUAGGCUGCCGAAAAUACUGCACAGCUAGGGAGUGGGAGAGGUAGACGGUACUCAAUAGGAAGGGGUAAAAUCCUUUGAUCUAUUGAUGACCACCUGUGGCGAAGGCGGUCUACCAGAACACGUUCGACGGUGAGGGAUGAAAGCUGGGGGAGCAAACCGGAUUAGAUACCCGGGUAGUCCCAGCUGUAAACGAUGCAGACUCGAUGAUGCAUUGGCAUAUAGCCAGUGCAGUGUCGCAGGGAAGCCGUUAAGUCUGCCGCCUGGGAAGUACGUACGCAAGUAUGAAACUUAAAGGAAUUGGCGGGGGAGCACCACAAGGGGUGAAGCCUGCGGUUCAAUUGGAGUCAACGCCAGAAAUCUUACCCGGAGAGACAGCAGAAUGAAGGUCAGGCUGAAGACCUUACCAGACAAGCUGAGAGGUGGUGCAUGGCCGUCGCCAGCUCGUGCCGUGAGAUGUCCUGUUAAGUCAGGUAACGAGCGAGAUCCUCGCCACUAGUUGCUAUCAUUAUUCUCAGGAAUAGUGGGGCGAAUUAGUGGGACUGCCGUUGUUAAAACGGAGGAAGGAAGGGGCUACGGCAGGUCAGUAUGCCCCGAAACUCUGGGGCCACACGCGGGCUGCAAUGGUAGCGACAAUGAGUUCCAAAAUCGAAAGAUAGAGGUAAUCCCUAAACGCUACCACAGUUGUGAUUGAGGGCUGCAACUCGCCCUCAUGAACAUGGAAUCCCUAGUAACCGCGUGUCAUUAUCGCGCAGUGAAUACGUCCCUGCUCCUUGCACACACCGCCCGUCGUUUCAUCGAAGUUUGCUUUUAGCGAGGUGAUGUUUAAUUGACAUUAU